AAAAAUUACAGCAAUAUUUUACAGCCGAUGGCUGUAUUUUAAUAAUACAGCAUAUUGCUGUAAAUUGCAAUGAAUUCCAGGGGCGUGGCGAUUUGAAUCAAAUUUACAGAAUAUUGCUGUAAAUUUCAAAUAUACAGAGGCAUUGUGGGAUCUCCAACGGUCAAGAUUCGAGUAGCAGCAAGAGGAGUGAUUUACAACUGUGGUAUUUAUCUGGAGAGAGGAACAAAGACGAAAGGAAAAGUGCCAUCUAAAACAACAGGCAGACAGUUCAGAAGAAACGGGUUGCGUUCAACCUACAUGUGGCCACUCUUCUGUGCAAAGUGAUGGAUUUUCAGUGGAAUUUCUGAAAUCCUCUCUUUGAAUCCUGGGAUGGAACAUCAUCUGGAGCAGAAUUGUUCUUUUUUGAUCGCAAGUUUGUUGGACUUGUUGUUUGGCCAUGUUGGUAUGUUCAUGAAGUGAUAAAAGUGAUGUGGGUUUUAAGAAAUGUUUUUAUAUGACCCUGUUGGUCAAGUUAUAGUUAUAAUUGUAUUUCUUUGUGUGAAGGGCCAUGAUGGCCAAUAAGUAAUUUAAAAACAU